GAUGAAGAACGCAGCGAAAUGCGAUAAGUAAUGUGAAUUGCAGAAUUCAGUGAAUCAUUGAAUCUUUGAACGCACAUUGCGCCCCCUGGUAUUCCGGGGGGCAUGCCUGUUCGAGCGUCAUUUCACCACUCAAGCCUCGCUUGGUAUUGGGCAACGCGGUCCGCCGCGUGCCUCAAAUCGACCGGCUGGGUCUUCUGUCCCCUAAGCGUUGUGGAAACUAUUCGCUAAAGGGUGUUCGGGAGGCUACGCCGUAAAACAACCCCAUUUCUAAGGUUGACCUCGGAUCAGGUAGGGAUACCCGCUGAACUUAAGCAUAUCAAUAAGCGGAGGA
rnacentral:misc_RNA from 1 species